rnacentral:rRNA from 1 species
UACGUAGGGGGCAAGCGUUGUCCGGAAUCAUUGGGCGUAAAGAGCGUGUAGGCGGCUCGAUAAGUCUGCUGUGAAAGUCCAGGGCUCAACCCCGGAAGGCCGGUGGAAACUGUCGGGCUAGAGUCCGGAAGGGGCGAGUGGAAUUCCCGGUGUAGCGGUGAAAUGCGCAGAUAUCGGGAGGAACACCAAUGGCGAAGGCAGCUCGCUGGGACGGUACUGACGCUGAGACGCGAAAGCGUGGGGAGCAAACAGG